rnacentral:rRNA from 1 species
AUUGAACGCUGGCGGCAUGCUUUACACAUGCAAGUCGAACGGCAGCGCGGGCUUCGGCCUGGCGGCGAGUGGCGAACGGGUGAGUAAUACAUCGGAACGUGCCCAGGAGUGGGGGAUAGCUCGGCGAAAUCGGAAUUAAUGCCGCUUACGACCUGAGGGGGAAAACGGGGGAGCUUGGGACUUGGGGCUCUUGUAGCGGCCGAUGCCAGAUUAGCUAGUUGGUGGGGUAAAGGCCUACCAAGGCGACGAUCUGUAGCUGGUCUGAGAGGACGACCAGCCACACUGGGACUGAGACACGGCCCAGACUCCUACGGGAGGCAGCAGUGGGGAAUUUUGGACAAUGGGCGAAAGCCUGAUCCAGCAAUGCCGCGUGUGUGAUGAAGGCCUUCGGGUUGUAAAGCACUUUUGGCGGGAACGAAAAGGACUGUGCCAAUACCACGGUUCGAUGACGGUACCCGCAGAAUAAGCACCGGCUAACUACGUG